rnacentral:rRNA from 1 species
UAGAUACCCUGGUAGUCCACGCCGUAAACGUUGGGCGCUAGGUGUGGGGCUCAUUCCACGAGUUCCGUGCCGCAGCUAACGCAUUAAGCGCCCCGCCUGGGGAGUACGGCCGCAAGGCUAAAACUCAAAGGAAUUGACGGGGGCCCGCACAAGCGGCGGAGCAUGUUGCUUAAUUCGAUGCAACGCGAAGAACCUUACCUAGGCUUGACAUGCACGGAAAUCCUCCAGAGAUGGUGGGUCCGUAAGGGCC